rnacentral:rRNA from 1 species
UUCCGGUUGAUCCUGCCGGACCUGACUGCUAUCGGAUUGAUACUAAGCCAUGCGAGUCAUUGUAGCAAUACAAGGCAUACGGCUCAGUAACGCGUAGUCAACCUAACCUAUGGACGGGAAUAACCUCGGGAAACUGAGAAUAAUGCCCGAUAGAACACUAUACCUGGAAUGGUUUGUGUUCCAAAUGAUUUAUCGCCGUAGGAUGGGACUGCGGCCUAUCAGUUUGUUGGUGAGGUAAUGGCCCACCAAGACUAUUACAGGUACGGGCUCUGAGAGGAGUAGCCCGGAGAUGGGUACUGAGACACGGACCCAGGCCCUAUGGGGCGCAGCAGGCGAGAAAACUUUGCAAUGUGCGAAAGCACGACAAGGUUAAUCCGAGUGAUUUGUGCUAAACGAAUCUUUUGUUAGUUCUAGAAAUACUAACGAAUAAGGG